rnacentral:rRNA from 1 species
GUCUAUGGCCAUACCACCCUGAAUGCGCCUGAUCUCGUCUGAUCUCAGAAGCUAAGCAGGGUCGGGCCUGGUUAGUACUUGGAUGGGAGAAAAUUGAAACACUGGGAAUUUAAAUC